rnacentral:tRNA from 1 species
GAGGGGAUAGCUCAGUUGGUUAGAGCAUGGUGCUGAUAACGCCAAGGUCACGGGUUCGAUCCCCGCUCGUUCCC